rnacentral:rRNA from 1 species
CCUACGGGUGGCUGCAGUGGGGAAUAUUGGACAAUGGGGGCAACCCUGAUCCAGCCAUGCCGCGUGUGUGAAGAAGGCCCUCGGGUUGUAAAGCACUUUCAGUGAGGAAGAACGCCUGGUGGUUAAUACCCAUCAGGAAAGACAUCACUCACAGAAGAAGCACCGGCUAACUCCGUGCCAGCAGCCGCGGUAAUACGGAGGGUGCGAGCGUUAAUCGGAAUUACUGGGCGUAAAGCGCGCGUAGGUGGCUUGAUAAGCUGGUUGUGAAAGCCCCGGGCUCAACCUGGGAACGGCAUCCGGAACUGUCAAGCUAGAGUGCAGGAGAGGAAGGUAGAAUUCCCGGUGUAGCGGUGAAAUGCGUAGAGCUCGGGAGGAAUACCAGUGGCGAAGGCGGCCUUCUGGACUGACACUGACACUGAGGUGCGAAAGCGUGGGUAGCAAACAGGAUUAGAUACCCCAGUAGUC